GGCACGGCGGGGACAACGUUCUGCUGGUACCGAACCGAACUCGACGGGUCUCGGGGAGCUGCUGGGUUCAUCCUCCCUUCCCAUCAGAGCUUGGCCACCUGCCUUGCAAUGGAGCAACAGAACUGAGUUGUGGGUUGGCUUAGGCUUGCAUCAUCAUACCCAACCAGACUGCAUCUCCACUCCUCUGGAACUGACUCCAUGCCUCAACUGAUAAAAAAAAAAAAAAGCUGAUACUGAUAAAAGAAGCUGUGGAAACAUGGAUCCUUGGGGCAAGGUGGUUUUACCACAUCCUCUCCCUUUAUUGCCUGGUCCUCUGGAAGACAAAAGAAUGCGACUCAGCAGUGCAUCAUUAUCCUGCCACCUGUUUGAGAACUGCUUCAACAGCCAAGAGAAGAAAAUACAGUGAUGUGGCCCCAGCAAGCACAUCCUCUUUGUAAUGAUUUACACUUGCACUGUGAUCCCAACCAGGAGUGAUGCUCAGACCUCCCUCUGGCUACCUUUGUGCUAUUCUCUUACUGUAGCAAGACUUUUUUUUUCCCCAACACACAAGUGCCCAUGUAAAAAUACCAAGAUUCUCCAUGGAGUUUACAGUAGGUUUACAAAUUAAGAAAAGGCUGGUGCAGAACAAAAGGAAAAUUGAAUUAUCCCAGCGACUUGGCACUGCCUGGUAAACAAAGUCCUCUCUCUACAGGUGUUUUGUGGGACACACACUCAGGAAGGCCUGGGAGAAUUUUUCUUGUGUGGAGACUGCAGGAACUGCCCCCAGCAAAGCAUCCUGUGCUAAAAAUGGUGAGCAGUAAGCAAUGGGGGAGCUCUUUGGGGGGAAAAAGCAGGAAGAAAUCUUGGUGAGAGUUUGAUCCUUGGUGGUGUCUGUCACCUUUUAUAGUUGAGUGACUGACAAGGAAAAGAGGUGAACUGAAUCACCUGGAGUAGGGAUGCUUCCCAUUGCAGAGCAGAAGAAAUCAGGGAGCUGCUCCUUCCCAUUAAAUCCAAUACAGAUCUAGUAAAGAUAAAGAUUAAUUUCUAUGAUAAAGAUUAUGAUAAAGAUUAAUAUCUAAAAACCAACUGUAAACCUAUAGGUCAGGUGGUAAGACUGUGACUUGACAGAUUUUGCAUUGCCAAGUGUCUGAUAAUUUCAUGCCUUCAAUCUGCAUCACUGCAGGCAGUGUUACUGUUGAUUCAAGUUUGUCACUGUGAAUUCAGUUGUUUUCCACAAGUGGAUUAUGAACAGAAACUUUUGAUUUCUCUUAAUUAUAUAUAUUUGAAUGGAAAGCUAUUAUAUUAUUUAUAUAUAUACUUAAUAAUAAUGUAUCUUUGAAUAAAAAUCUAUUGUGUAUAUAUAUAUAUAUUUAAUAGCAGGACAUGUAACAAACAUUUAUUUUUAUUAAAGUAAUAAAAA